GCGCCUAUAGCUCAAUUGGAUAGAGUAAACGGCUACGAACCGUUAGGUUGGGAGUUCGAGUCUCCCUGGGCGCG
rnacentral:tRNA from 1 species